rnacentral:miRNA from 1 species
AAAAGUCUCUGAUCAGACUCGUGUAGAAAGAAACCAUCUUCACCACAAGAAAUAAGUUUUAAAGCUUUACUUCUGGUGAAGAGGGUUUCUUUCUACACGAGUCUGAUCAGAUACUUUU